UACGUAGGGUGCGAGCGUUAAUCGGAAUUACUGGGCGUAAAGCGUGCGCAGGCGGUUUUGUAAGCCAGAUGUGAAAUCCCCGGGCUUAACCUGGGAAUGGCAUUUGGGACUGCAAGGCUCGAGUGCGGCAGAGAAGACUGGAAUUCCUGGUGUAGCAGUGAAAUGCGUAGAUAUCAGGAGGAACACCGAUGGCGAAGGCAGGUCUCUGGGCUGACACUGACGCUCAUGCACGAAAGCGUGGGGAGCAAACAGG
rnacentral:rRNA from 1 species